UACGUAGGGGGCUAGCGUUAUCCGGAUUUACUGGGCGUAAAGGGUGCGUAGGUGGUCUUUCAAGUCGGUGGUUAAAGGCUACGGCUCAACCGUAGUAAGCCUCCGAAACUGUUAGACUUGAGUGCAGGAGAGGAAAGUGGAAUUCCCAGUGUAGCGGUGAAAUGCGUAGAUAUUGGGAGGAACACCAGUAGCGAAGGCGGCUUUCUGGACUGCAACUGACACUGAGGCACGAAAGCGUGGGUAGCAAACAGGAUUAGAUACCCUGGUAGUCCACGCCGUAAACGAUGAGUACUAGGUGUCGGGGGUUACCCCCCUCGGUGCCGCAGCUAACGCAUUAAGUACUCCGCCUGGGGAGUACGCACGCAAGUGUGAA
rnacentral:rRNA from 1 species